CUAUUUGGUGAUGUUUGCUUCCACUGCAAUCGUGUUAUAGAAGGUGAUGUGGUCUCUGCUCUUAAUAAGGCCUGGUGCGUGAACUGCUUUGCCUGUUCUACCUGCAACACUAAAUUAACACUCAAUUUCUAGAAAAUUUCUCCACAAACUGAGAGCUCCAGAAUUGAUGACUCAGAGUGAACCGAGGAGAUCACUACUGUGCACAAGUUUGCCUCCAAACAACUGGGUGAUGCCUCCAAACAGACCUGGAAUCAUCCAUUUCUCCAAGGAUCUCUGCUUCUUCUUGUAAAAUAGGCUAUUUAAGGACUACAAUCUGAGCAUUAAGGGUAUCAAACUCUUGGGCUUGAACAAUCCUCUUGUGUCUGGAGUUGGUUCCUUCCGGUGGGUUCCUGGUCUUCGAGAAUGAAGCCAUGGACCUUGCUGGUCUUGGAGGAAGGCAUCCUUCUAUUCUACUGAUCAGAAAGCUGGACAAAGUCCCACUGCCAGGCUACACAGUUGGUGCCAUUUGCGGAGGUGACCUUUGACCUUUAACCCACGCGGCCACCCGCCCGAGCUCUUACCCCUGCUGCCCCUCGCGCGUCCCACUCCCCGUCCCUGCCGGAUCCGCUUCCCUGCGCUGGGCCCAGCGCGCCGCCAGGGAAGGGGCCGGAGCCUGGGAGCCCGCCCCGCCGUCGCCCGUCCUCCGCCCGCAGGCCCACCCGCAGCGGUCACGUGAAGGACCGAGCGCCGCGCGCCCAGGCGGGGCCUCCGGCCUGCACGAGGAGGGCAGAGUCCGUUGCGGCUGCCGCCCCGACGCCCGCGCAUCCCCGCUCGCCGCGCCCGCCGCCGCGAUGUCCGGGGCCGGCCUAGCCGCGGUGGUGAGCUGCCUGCGCCCGCAGCCCGGCGAGGAGCCGCAGACCCAUGAGGACCUUCUCCUGGCAGCUGCCUAUGUUUUGGAUGCCCAGUACAACAGAAAUGUUCCAUUUGAAACUCACCUCAGGCCAUCAG
rnacentral:lncRNA from 10 species